ACAUGUUUUCUUUUAACUGGAGUUCAAUUAUAAAUGUUGUGUCCUUGGUUGCUAUGUGUCACUUUCCAUGCAUAUUGUUGUUCUUUUAAUCAUCACUAGUAUUGAUAUGUACUUGUUUGCACAGUACUAAUUUUGUGCUAUAUUUUUUUUGACAAGGCGUUGUCUGGAGCGUGCAGCGGAGCUGGGCGAAGGGAGCAGCGCUGCUUUACCUGCGCCCUCGCUGACGUGCGAUGGCGGCGAGUUCAGCACGCCGCUACCACUGCAGUGGUGGCCUCUCGGGUGAUUCCUUGGGUUUCAGCCAUUGAGUGUGCGUUCUGGUUUGAAUUUCCAAAAUAGAUGGAAGGUCAUGACAAAAAUUUCAGUACUCCCUAGCUGUUGUCUUUAGUUGGUAUAUAUUCCUUAGUUGCUAUUUCGUCCUAGCUGUUUGGGCCAGAAUUUCUGCUUGUCUCAGCUCUAAUUUUUCAUCCAAAACAUUUGAAACCAUCGGACAUGACAGCAGCUUUGACAGAGCAAUGACAUUCACUGUUCAGUUGUGUGGAGUUUGUGUUUAGUUAAGGCCUCUGAUUGAGUUAUCAUGUUUGGUCGGACUAGUGAGUCGAGUUUGGAUGCACAAAGAGGCGUGCCAUGUGCCACAUUUUUUACUGUUUUGUUAUCUGAAUUGUGGUCUGGAUGUGCAAAAGAAUAACAAGGUCAUGGCAAAUUUUUCGACACCAUUGCUGAUUAAAGUUGCAUCGGUUACUUUGGUGUAUGAAAUACAAUUUGUUUCUUGAAUAAAUCUGGUUAUCUAGAGCUGACCACCAUCAUGUGGUUUGUUCUUGUUUUGCAAGGAUAUAUAUAACCAGUAAGUGGACAUGCACGUUGGGCGGGUAGCAGGUGGUACACCUGUUGCAGCGCUGCUGUGUCAGCCCUGUGCAUCAUCAUCAUCACGUGUUGGAAGCUGGAAGAAGACCCGACCAAAGGGAACGCCCAUCUGUAUAUAUGCAUGCAUGCCGCAGCCUUGGUUGAGCAUCUCGGAUCCUAGUCAAGUUUGUAAUAAUUUCGUGCCAGGAGGUUGUUUGGCGCACAUUGUAUGUCUGAUGCCGCGCGCGCGGGUUUGCGCAUUGGCUGCUUUGCCUUACAUUGGAUGAAAUGCUAUCUUAUUGUUAUCCAGAGCUUUGGUCUGGUCUGGUUGCAGUAGAAACAGAAGAGGUCUCGUGUGGCAGGCAAGCUUUGUUGACGCUCUGGCUGAUUAAUAAGAGGAUUUUUGUUACUAGC